rnacentral:rRNA from 1 species
UAAUUAAUUACUUUUUUUUUAAUUUUUAGUUAAUUAUUUUUUAGUAUAAAAUUAUAAUUAUUUAUAUUUAUUAAUUUAAGUUAAAUUAAAUUAUUUUUUGAUUAUUUUUUAUUAAACAUAAAUUUAAAAAAUUUAUAAAUUAAAUUGUAGUAGUUAAUUUUAAUAAAUUUAAUAAUUUAAGAAUUAGUGAUUAUUUUAAAUAUUAACAAAGUUUGUGCCAGCAGUUGCGGUUAUACAAACGAUAUAAUUCAAUUUUUUUGAUAAAAAUAAAUUUGUUUAUAAAAUUUUAUAAUAAAAAUUAUUAAGUGAAAUUUUAAUUUUUAAAUAAAAUUUAUUAUUUAAAUUGAUUUUAUAAAUUUAAAAUAUAAACUAGGAUUAGAUACCCUAUUAUUUUAAAGGUAAUAAGAUAUAUUAAAUUAGUAUUAGUUAAGUUCUUGAAAAUUAAAGAAUUUGGCGGUAUUUUAGACUUUUCAGAGGAACUUGUCCUAUAAUUGAUAGUCCACGAUUUAAUUUACUUUUUUUUUUAGUUUAUAUAUCGUCGUUAUUAAAAAUUUUAUAAAAAUAAAUAAUUUUUAGAAUUUUAGAUAAAAAAAUAAAUCAGAUCAAGAUGUAGUUAAUAAAAAAGUAGAGAUUCUAAAAUAUGUACAUAUCGCCCGUCGCUUUCAUUAUAAAAUGAAAUAAGUCGUAACAAAGUAGAUUUAUUGGAAAAUGAAUCUAGAAUUUU